rnacentral:rRNA from 1 species
UACGAAGGGGGGCUAGCGUUGCUCGGAAUGACUGGGCGUAAAGGGCGCGUAGGCGGAUGGCACAGUCAGAUGUGAAAUUCCCGGGCUUAACCUGGGGGGCUGCAUUUGAUACGUGUGAUCUAGAGUGAGGAAGAGGGUCGUGGAAUUCCCCAGUGUAGAGGUGAAAUUCGUAGAUAUUGGGAAGAACACCGGUGGCGAAGGCGGCGACCUGGUCCUUGACUGACGCUGAGGCGCGAAAGCGUGGGGAGCAAACAGG